rnacentral:rRNA from 1 species
UACGUAGGGAGCAAGCGUUGUCCGGAAUCAUUGGGCGCAAAGCGCGCGUAGGUGGCCUCAUAAGUCCGCUGUGAAAGUCAAAGGCUCAACCUUUGAAAGCCGGUGGAUACUGUGGGGCUAGAGUACGGAAGAGGCGAGUGGAAUUCCUGGUGUAGCGGUGGAAUGCGCAGAUAUCAGGAGGAACACCAAUAGCGAAGGCAGCUCGCUGGGACGUUACUGACACUGAGGCGCGAAAGCGUGGGGAGCGAACAGG